rnacentral:rRNA from 1 species
GAUGAACGCUGGCGGCGUGCCUAAUACAUGCAAGUCGAGCGAACGGACGAGAAGCUUGCUUUUCUGAUGUUAGCGGCGGACGGGUGAGUAACACGUGGAUAACCUACCUAUAAGACUGGGAUAACUUCGGGAAACCGGAGCUAAUACCGGAUAAUAUUUUGAACCGCAUGGUUCAAAAGUGAAAGACAGUCUUGCUGUCACUUAUAGAUGGAUCCGCGCUGCAUUAGCUAGUUGGUAAGGUAACGGCUUACCAAGGCAACGAUGCAUAGCCGACCUGAGAGGGUGAUCGGCCACACUGGAACUGAGACACGGUCCAGACUCCUACGGGAGGCAGCAGUAGGGAAUCUUCCGCAAUGGGCGAAAGCCUGACGGAGCAACGCCGCGUGAGUGAUGAAGGUCUUCGGAUCGUAAAACUCUGUUAUUAGGGAAGAACGUAUGUGUAAGUAACUGUGCACAUCUUGACGGUACCUAAUCAGAAAGCCACGGCUAACUACGUG